rnacentral:lncRNA from 10 species
AGAGGCGACACUCAUUGUAGCAGAGAGGCAGGACCAACUGGGAGAGGGUCCUUCUGUGACAACUAUUGCAUCACCGGGCUGUGUGAAGUGACUCAGCUGCCAGAACUCACACAAUAUCAUUCUACACCAAACCUCACGGGAAAAAUGCUCCACGACCCUCAGACUUAAACAGCAGCACUGGCUCCUCCCCAGAUCUCCAGCUCCCUGACCCUCAAACUCCAACUCCAACACCAGCUCUGCCCCAGGUCUCCAGCUCCACAAUCCUCAAACUACAACAGCAGCACCAGCUCCCCUGGGGAUCUCCAGCUCAAUGACUCUCAGACUUGGGAGGCAGCUCCAGCUCCCACCAAGCCUCCAGCUCCACAACCUUCAAACUAGAACAGCAGCACCAGCUACUCCCUGGGUCUCCAGCUCCCUCAAAAUUCAACUAUAGCACUGGCUGUUCCCCAGCGCCACCAGCUCCACAACCCUCAACUUACACGGUGGUAGCACCAGCUCCUCCCUAGGUCUCCAGCUACACGACCGUCAAACUUGAACUGCAACACCAGCUCCUCUUCGGCCUCCAGCUCCACAAUCCUCCAACAACAACAGCAACACCGGCUCCUCCCUGAAUCUCCAGCUCAACAACCCUCAGACUUGAGAGGCAGCACCGGCACCUCCCCAAGGCUCCAGCUCCAUGACCCUCAGAUUUGAACAGCGGUAGCACCAGCUCCUGUCCAGGUCUCCAGCUUCAUGAUCCUUAAACUAGAACAGCAGCACCACCACCUCCCUAGGUUUCCAGCUCCACGACCCUAAGACAUGAAUGGCAGGACCGGGUUCCCCGCUAGGGCUCCAGCUCCAAGACCCACAGAUAUAAACGGCAGCACCGGCUCUUCCUGGGAUCUCCAGCUCCACAGCCUUCAAACACGAUCAGCAGCACCAGCUCCCCUCUGGUUCUCCAGCUCCACAAUCCUCAGACAUGAACAGCAGCACAGGCUCCUCCUUGGGUCUCCAGCUUCUCUACCCUCAGACUAGAACAGCAACACUUGUUCCUCCCUGGGUCUCCAGCUCUUACAAGUCUCAGACUUGAAAGGCAGCACUGGCUCCUCAGAAAGUUUCUGGCUCCAAGCUGGUGCUGCUGUCCUAGUUUGAAGGUCAUGGAGCUGGAGACCCGGGGAGGAACCAUUUGAACAGCAGCACUGGCCCCUCCCCGGGUCUCAGGCUCCACGACCCUCAGACUUAAAAAGCCGUAGUACGGGCUUCUCCCUGGGUCUCCAUCUCUACAACCCUCAGACAUGAACAGCAGCAGCACCGCCCCCUCCCCCUGUCUCCAGUUCCACGAACCUCAAACUACAACAGCAGUACCGGCCUCUCCCCAGGUCUCCAGAUCCACGACCCUCAAAAUAGAAUGGCAUCACCGGCUCCUCCCUGGGUCUCCAGCUCCCAAACUCUCAAACUUCAAUUGACACACCGGACCCUCCCCACAGUUAAACAGCAGCACGGGCUGUUCCCCAAAGCUCCAGAUCCACGACCCUCUGACUUAAAGGGCGAUAGCACCAACUCCUCCCUAAGUCUCCAGUUCCACGACCCUCAAACUACACAGCAGCACCGGCUCCUCCUUGGGUCUCCAGCUUCACUACACUCAGACUAGAAUAGCAACACCGGUUCCUCCCUGGAACUCCAGCUCAAUGACUCUCAGACUUGAAAGGCAGCACCAGCUCCUCAAAAAGGUUCUGGCUCCAAGACCCUCGAACUAGAAUAGCAGCAGCUGCUGCAUCUUGGGUCUCCAGCUCCACAACCCUCAAAGUAGAAAAGCAGCCCUGGCUCCUCCCCGAGUCUCCAACUCCUCAAGUCUGAGGGUUGUAGAGCUGGAGACCCGGGGAGGAGUCAGUGCUGCUGUUCUAGUUUGAGGGUCAUGGAUCUGGAGACCCAGGGUGGAGCCGGUGCUGCUGUUCUAGUGUGAGGGUCAUGGAGCUGGAAGACCCCGGGAGGAGCUGCUGCUGCUGUUCUAGUGUGAGGGUCAUGGAGCUGGAAGACCCCGGGAGGAGCUGCUGCUGCUGUCCUAGUUUGAAGGUCAUGGAGCUGGAGACCCCGGAAUGAGCCAUUUGAACAGCAGCACUGGCCCCUCCCCAGGUCUCAGGCUCCACGACCCUCAGACUUAAAAAGCCGUAGUACGGGCUUCUCCCUGGGUCUCCAGCUCUACAACCCUCAGACAUGAACAGCAGCACCGGCUCCUCCCCCUGUCUCCAGUUCCACGAACCUCAAACUACAACAGCAGUACCGGCCUCUCCCCAGGUCUCCAGAUCCAUGACCCUCAAAAUAGAAUGGCAUCAUCAGCUCCUCCCUGGGUCUCCAGCUCCCAAACCCUCAAACUUCAACUAACACAGCAGAUCCUCCCCACAGUUAAACAGCAGCACGGGCUGUUCCCCAAAGCUCCAGAUACACGACCCUCAGUAGCACUGGCUCCUCCCAAGGUCUCCAGUUCCAUGACCCUCAAACUACACAGCAGCACCGGCUCCUCCCCAGGUCUAUAGCUCCACCACCCUCACACUAGACAUCAAGACUACCUCCUUCCCGCUCUCCAGCUACACGACCCUCAAACUUGAACAGCAGCAGCAGCUCCUCCCUAGAUUUCCAGCUCCAUGACCCUAAACCUGCAACAGCAGCACCAGCUCCUCCCUGUACCUCAAGCCCCAUGACCCUCUGACUUGAUCAACAGCAACAGCAGCUCCCUCCCUGGUCUCCAGCUCCACAACCUUCAGCCUUAAACAGCAGCAGCACCAGCUCCUCCCUGGGUCUCCAGCUCCACAACCCUCAGACUAGAACCGCACCCCUCCUCCCUGAGUCUCCAGCUCCAUGACCGUCAAACUACAACAGCAACACAGGUUCCUGUCUGGAUCUCCAGCUCAGCAACUCUCAGAUGAGGCAGCACCGGCAACUCACCAAGGCUCCAGCUCCACAACCCUCAGAUUUGAAUAAUGGUAGCACCAGCUCCUGUCCAGAUCUCCAGCUUCAUGAUCCUUAAACUAGAACAGCAGCACCGCUGCCUCCCUGGGUUUCCAGCUCCACGACCCUAAGACAUGAAUGGCAGAACCGGCUUCCCACAAGGGUUCCAGCUCCAGGACCCACAGAUUUAAAUGGCAGCACUGGCUCUUCCCAGGAUUUCCAGCUCCACUACCCUCAAACUAGAAGAGGAGCACCGGCUCCUCCCUGGGUCUCCAGCUCCCAAACCCUCAGACAUCACCUGACACACUGGAUCCUCCCCACAGUUACAUAGCAGCACGGGCUGUCCCCGAAAACUCGAGAUCCACAACCCUCUGACUUCAAUGGCGGUAGUACUGGUUCCUCCCUAGGUCUCCAGUUCCAUGACCCUCAAACUACACAGCAGCACCAGCUCCUCCCCAGGUCUACAGCUCCACCACCCUCACACUAGACACCAGGACUACCUCCUCCCCGCUCUCCAGCUACACGACCCGCAGAUUUGAACAGCAGCAGCGUCUCCUCCCUGUACCUCAAGCCCCAUAACCCUCAUAUAUGAACAACAGCAAUACCAGCUAAUGCCUAGGGCUCCAGCUCCAGGAUCCACAGAUUUAAACUGCAGCACCAGCUCGUCCAAGGAUCUCCAGCUCCACCACCCUCAGACUAGAACAAGACCUCUACUCCCUGGGUCGCGAGCUUCCGGACCCUCGAACUAUGAAAACAUUGCUCCUCCCUGGGUCCGCAGCUCCACGACCCUCAAACCAGAUCAAGAUCUCUCCUCCCUGUGUCGUCAGCUUCCUGACCCUUGAACUAUGACAACAUUGCUCCUCCCUGGGUCAGCAGCUCCACAACCCUCAAACCAGAUCAAGAUCUCUCCUCCCUGGGUCGCCAGCUUCCUGACCCUCGAACAACAGAAACAUUACUCGCCUGGGUCUGCAGCUCCACGACCCUCAAUCCAGAUCAAGAUCGUCGCCAGUUUCCGGAGCCUCAAACUAAAACAACCUUGCUCCUCCCUGGGUCUGCAGCUCCACAACCCUCAAACUAGAACCAGACCUCUCCUCCCUGUGUUGCCAGCUUCCUGACCCUUGAACUAUGGAAACAUGGCUCCUCCCUAGGUCUGCAGCUUCCAGUCCCUCAAAUAACAACAUUGCUCCUCCCUGGAUCUGCAGCUCCAUGACUCUCAGACUACAACAAGAUCUCUCCUCCCUGGGUCUGCAGCUUCCAGUCCCUCAAAUAACAACAUUGCUCCUCCCUGGAUCUGCAGCUCCACGACCCUCAGACUAGAACAAGACCUCUCCUCCCUGAGUCACCAGCUUCCCAGUCCCCAAAUAACAACAUUGCUCCUCCCUGGAUCUGCAGCUCCACGACCCUCAGACUAGAACAAGAUCUCUCCUCCCUGGGUCACCAGCUUCCGGACCCUGGAACUACAAAAACAUUGCUCCUCCCUGGGUCUGCAGCUCCACAACCCUCAAACUAAAACAAGAUCUCUCCUCCCUGUGUUGCCAGCUUCCGGACCCUCGAACUAUGACAACAUUGCUCCUCCCUGGGUCUGCAGCUCCACGACCCUCAAAGCAGAUCAAGAUCUCUCCUUCCUGUGUCAUCAGCUUCCUGACCCUUGAACUAUGACAACAUUGCUCCUCCCUGGGUCUGCAGCUCCAUGACUCUCAAACUAGAACAGCAGCACCAGCUCCUUCCUGGACCUCCAGGUCAAUGACUCUCAGACUUCAAAGGCAGCAGCAGCUCCACCCCCAGGCUCCAGCUCUAAAACCCUCAGAUGUGAGCAGUGGCAGCACCAGCUCCUUUCUGCGUCUCCGGCUUCAUGAUCCUUAAAUUAGAACAGCAGCGCCAUCUUCUCCCUGCGUCUCCAGCUCCAGGAACCUCAAACUGCAACAGGAGCACCUGUUCCUCUGGGAUUUUCACCUCCACGACCCUGAGGUGUCAGUGGCAGCACUGGCUCCUCCCCUGGGCUGCAGCUCCAGAACCCUCAAGAAUAAUCCCUUCUCAUGAAAUGUAGCAGUCAGGAAAACUGCAGAGGAA